rnacentral:rRNA from 1 species
CCCUUAGAUGUUCUGGGCCGCACGCGUGCUACACUGAGUGGAUCAGCGGGUCAGGUUGCGCGAAAGCGUUUCCUAAUCUUUAAAUCCGCUCGUGAUGGGGAUUGACGGUUGCAAUUUUCUGUCAUGAACGAGGAAUACCUUGUAAGCGCGGGUCAUCAUCCCGCGCUGAAUACGUCCCUGCCCUUUGUACACACCGCCCGUCGCUCCUACCGAUUGAACGUUUUAGUGAGGUAUUUGGAUCGGACCUGAAGGGGUUCACGCCCUUUCUGUGUCUGAGAAGACUCCCAAACUUGAGCGUUUAGAGGAAGUAAAAGUCGUAACA